GACGAACCGAGCGAACGUUGUUCGGAAUCACUGGGCUUAAAGGGCGCGUAGGCGGGCUGCCAAGUCUGGGGUGAAAUCCCGCGGCUCAACCGUGGAACUGCCUCAGAUACUGGCGGCCUCGAGGGAGGUAGGGGCGAGCGGAACUAAUGGUGGAGCGGUGAAAUGCGUUGAUAUCAUUAGGAACUCCGGUGGCGAAGGCGGCUCGCUGGACCUUUUCUGACGCUGAGGCGCGAAAGCUAGGGGAGCAAACGGG
rnacentral:rRNA from 1 species